rnacentral:rRNA from 1 species
GAUGAACGCUGGCGGCGUGCCUAAUACAUGCAAGUCGAGCGAACAGACGAUGAUCUUGCUCCUCUUACGUUAUCGGCGGACGUGUGAUUAACACGUGUAUCACCUACCUUUUUUUCUUGUAUAUCUUCGUGAACCCUUCUCUAAUACCCUUUAAUAUAUUUAACCUCCUGGUUCUUUAGUUAUUUUCGUUUUUUCUGUCUCUUAUAGAUUUUUCCUCGCCGCAUUAGCUAGUUGGUAAGGUAACGGCUUACCAAGGCAACGAUGCGUAGCCGACAUGAGAGGGGGAUCGGCGAAAGGGGAAGUGAGACAGGGACCAGACGCCUACGGGAGGGAGCAGAAGGGAAUAGUGCGAAAUGGGCGAAAGCAUGACGGAGCAAAGCCGCGUGAGUGAAGAAGGUCGUCGGAUCGUAAAACACUGUUAUGAGGGAAGAAAAAAAGUGUAAGAAAAUAUGAACGUAUUGACGGUAACUAAAAAGAAAGCAACGGCUAACUACGUG